rnacentral:misc_RNA from 1 species
AACGGUCUAUACCUGCGGUACCUGCGGAGGGAUCACUGAUGAGAGGGAGAAAUGGGGUGCGUGGGGAGAUGUGGGGAAGUGGGGGGUUAGUGGGGAUGUUUGAGAAAUCGAACAAUCCACAUACUUUUCACUCUCCACAAUCCCCACACCACACCCAUAUUCACACGCUUGCUGGUUUGACUGUAUCUUUCCAAUACAUACACAACUUUCAACAACGGAUCUCUAGAUCGGAAGAGCACA